rnacentral:rRNA from 1 species
UACGGGGGGGGCAAGCGUUGUUCGGAAUUACUGGGCGUAAAGGGCUCGUAGGCGGCCAACUAAGUCGGAUGUGAAAUCCCCAGGCUUAACCUGGGAACUGCAUCCGAUACUGGAUGGCUUGAAUCCGGGAGAGGGAUGCAGAAUUCCAGGUGUAGCGGUGAAAUGCGUAGAUAUCUGGAGGAAUACCGGUGGCGAAGGCGGCAUCCUGGACCGGCAUUGACGCUGAUGAGCGAAAGCUAGGGGAGCGAACGGG